rnacentral:rRNA from 1 species
UACGUAGGGUGCAAGCGUUGUCCGGAAUUAUUGGGCGUAAAGAGCUCGUAGGCGGUUUGUCGCGUCGUCCGUGAAAACUUGGGGCUCAACCCCAAGCUUGCGGGCGAUACGGGCAGACUUGAGUACUGCAGGGGAGACUGGAAUUCCUGGUGUAGCGGUGAAAUGCGUUGAUAUCAGAAGGAACGCCGGUGGCGAAAGCGACGGACUGGAUCUCUUCUGACGCUGAUGCGCGAAAGCCAGGGGAGCAAACGGG